GCCGCCGCGGUAAUACAGAGGCCCCAAGCGUUACUGAGAAUCACUGGGUUUAAAGGGUGCGUAGGUGGCGCGUUAAGUCCGUUGUGAAAUCCCUGGGCUCAACCCAGGAAUUGCUUCGGAUACUGGCGUGCUUGAGGCUAGUAGGGGUCACUGGAACUGACGGUGGAGCGGUGAAAUGCGUAGAUAUCGUCAGGAACGCCAAUGGUGAAGACAGGUGACUGGGCUAGUUCUGACACUGAGGCACGAAAGCGUGGGGAGCGAACGGGAUUAGAUACCCCGGUAGUCCACGCCCUAAACGAUGCAGACUAGACUGCAGCGGGUUACACCCCGUUGCGGUCGGAGCGAAAUUGUUAAGUCUGCCACCUGGGAAGUACGGUCGCAAGGCUAAAACUCAAAGGAAUUGACGG
rnacentral:rRNA from 1 species